rnacentral:rRNA from 1 species
UACAGGGGGGGCAAGCGUUGUUCGGAAUUACUGGGCGUAAAGGGCGCGUAGGCGGCCUGUUAAGUCGAACGUGAAAUCCCCGGGCUCAACCCGGGAACUGCGUCCGAUACUGGCAGGCUUGAAUCCGGGAGAGGGAUGCGGAAUUCCAGGUGUAGCGGUGAAAUGCGUAGAUAUCUGGAGGAACACCGGUGGCGAAGGCGGCAUCCUGGACCGGCAUUGACGCUGAGGCGCGAAAGCCAGGGGAGCAAACAGG